rnacentral:rRNA from 1 species
AAACGAUGUCUACUUGGAGGUUGUGGCCUUGAGCCGUGGCUUUCGGAGCUAACGCGUUAAGUAGACCGCCUGGGGAGUACGGUCGCAAGAUUAAAACUCAAAUGAAUUGACGGGGGCCCGCACAAGCGGUGGAGCAUGUGGUUUAAUUCGAUGCAACGCGAAGAACCUUACCUACUCUUGACAUCCAGAGAAUCUAGCGGAGACGCUGGAGUGCCUUCGGGAACUCUGAGACAGGUGCUGCAUGGCUGUCGUCAGCUCGUGUUGUGAAAUGUUGGGUUAAGUCCCGCAACGAGCGCAACCCUUAUCCUUAGUUUGCCAGCGAGUAAUGUCGGGAACUCCAGGGAGACUGCCGGUGAUAAACCGGAGGAAGGUGGGGACGASCGUCAAGUCAUCAUGGCCCUUACGAGUAGGGCUACACACGUGCUACAAUGGCGCAUACAGAGGGCKGCCAACUUGCGAAAGUGAGCGAAUCCCAAAAAGUGCGUCGUAGUCCGGAUUGGAGUCUGCAACUCGACUCCAUGAAGUCGGAAUCGCUAGUAAUCGUGGAUCAGAAUGCCACGGUGAAUACGUUCCCCGGGCCUUGUACACACCGCCCCGUCACACCAUGGGAGUGGGCUGCAAAAGAAGUGGGUAGUUUUAACCUUCGGGAGGACGCUCACCACUUUGUGGUUACAUGACUGGGGUGAAGUCGUAACAAGGUAGCGCUAGGGGAACCUGGCGCUGGAUCACCUCCUUAUACGAUGAU